AGAGUUUGAUCCUGGCUCAGGAUGAACGCUAGCUACAGGCUUAACACAUGCAAGUCGAGGGGAAACGACAUCGAAAGCUUGCUUUUGAUGGGCGUCGACCGGCGCACGGGUGAGUAACGCGUAUCCAACCUGCCCAUCACUUGGGGAUAACCUUGCGAAAGUAAGACUAGUACCCAAUGACGUCUCUAGAAGACAUCUGAAAGAGAUUAAAGAUUUAUCGGUGAUGGAUGGGGAUGCGUCUGAUUAGCUUGUUGGCGGGGUAACGGCCACCAAGGCGACGAUCAGUAGGGGUUCUGAGAGGAGGUCCCCACAUUGGAACUGAGACACGGUCCAACUCCUACGGGAGGCA
rnacentral:rRNA from 1 species